GGUAAGUUAAGAAUGCAUGUGUAGUUUACUUUUUCUUUACACUUUCUGUUAUAUUGUAAUAAUACGUUCUUUUUUACUUUUUAUUGUAUAGAGUCUUGAAUCUUGACAUAGCUUAGGGUAUCAUGCCCUAAUUUGAUGUGUGCAAGAUACAGAAGUGAGUGACAGAAUCUGGGGGAACAAUACUUGGAAGAAACCUGCUUAUUCUGUUCAUGCUACUUCCAACUGAACACACGCACACUGCAAUCAAAUGUCAAAUCUACAAGGAAUUCCAUAAAUGACCAAACCGACCUGGUAAAAAUGUGUUGGCGGUAGCUAGCAGUGCUAUACACAGCACAUGGGCUGGCAUAGAGAUGGUGAUCUAUCAGCUGCUUUACUGUGUGGUAUCUUUCAUGUUUUACAACUAUCACUGCCCAUGCAAUUGACAUAUCAAGAUCAAUUCUCUUUGUGUUUCUGUUCUUGUAAGAUCUUUCAUAAGUAUUUCUUGUUCUCAUUUACAUAAAUAAACAAAGAUUGUGAAAUACACACUUCAA